rnacentral:rRNA from 1 species
UGGGAAUAUUGGACAAUGGGCGCAAGCCUGAUCCAGCCAUACCGCGUGGGUGAAGAAGGCCUUCGGGUUGUAAAGCCCUUUUGUUGGGAAAGAAAUCCAGCUGGCUAAUACCCGGUUGGGAUGACGGUACCCAAAGAAUAAGCACCGGCUAACUUCGUGCCAGCAGCCGCGGUAAUACGAAGGGUGCAAGCGUUACUCGGAAUUACUGGGCGUAAAGCGUGCGUAGGUGGUCGUUUAAGUCCGUUGUGAAAGCCCUGGGCUCAACCUGGGAACUGCAGUGGAUACUGGGCGACUAGAGUGUGGUAGAGGGUAGCGGAAUUCCUGGUGUAGCAGUGAAAUGCGUAGAGAUCAGGAGGAACAUCCAUGGCGAAGGCAGCUACCUGGACCAACACUGACACUGAGGCACGAAAGCGUGGGGAGCAAACAGGAUUAGAUACCCUGGUAGUCCACGCCCUAAACGAU